rnacentral:rRNA from 1 species
GAGUUUGAUCGUGGCUCAGAUUGAACGCUGGCGGCAUGCCUUACACAUGCAAGUCGAACGGCAGCAUGAUCUAGCUUGCUAGAUUGAUGGCGAGUGGCGAACGGGUGAGUAAUACAUCGGAACGUGCCCUGUAGUGGGGGAUAACUAGUCGAAAGAUUAGCUAAUACCGCAUACGACCUGAGGGUGAAAGUGGGGGACCGCAAGGCCUCAUGCUAUAGGGGCGGCCGAUGUCUGAUUAGCUAGUUGGUGGGGUAAAGGCCCACCAAGGCGACGAUCAGUAGCUGGUCUGAGAGGACGAUCAGCCACACUGGGACUGAGACACGGCCCAGACUCCUACGGGAGGCAGCAGUGGGGAAUUUUGGACAAUGGGCGAAAGCCUGAUCCAGCAAUGCCGCGUGUGUG